rnacentral:rRNA from 1 species
GACGAACGCUGGCGGCGUGCUUAACACAUGCAAGUCGAACGGAAAGGCCCUGCUUUUGUGGGGUGCUCGCGUGGCGAACGGGUGAGUAACACGUGAGUAACCUGCCCUUGACUUUGGGAUAACUUCAGGAAACUGGGGCUCCUACCGGAUCGGAGCUCCUGCUGCAUGGUGGGGGUUGGAAAGUUUCGGCGGUUGGGGAUGGACUCGCGGCUUGUCAGCUUGUUGGUGGGGUAGUGGCUUACCACGGCUUUGACGGGUAGCCGGCCUGAGAGGGUGACCGGCCACAAUGGGGCUGAGAUACGGCCCAGACUCCUACGGGAGGCAGCAGUGGAGAAUAUUGCACAAUGGGCGGAAGCCUGAUGCAGCAACGCCGCGUGCGGGAUGACGGCCUGCGGGUUGUAAACCGCUUUCGCCUGUGACGAAGCGUGAGUGACGGUAAUGGGUAAAGAAGCACCGGCUAACUACGUG